rnacentral:rRNA from 1 species
UACGUAGGGGGCUAGCGUUAUCCGGAAUUACUGGGCGUAAAGGGUGCGUAGGUGGUUUCUUAAGUCAGAGGUGAAAGGCUACGGCUCAACCGUAGUAAGCCUUUGAAACUGGGAAACUUGAGUGCAGGAGAGGAGAGUGGAAUUCCUAGUGUAGCGGUGAAAUGCGUAGAUAUUAGGAGGAACACCAGUUGCGAAGGCGGCUUCCUGGUCUGUAACUGUACACUGAGGCGCGAAAGCGUGGGGAGCAAACAGGAUUAGAUACCCCUGUAGUCCCUGAGCGGGCU